rnacentral:tRNA from 1 species
AAGUCCGUCCGGGGGGUCUAAGAGGUGCCGGGCCUGCCAUCCGUGGGCCGGUAGCUCAGCCUGGGAGAGCGUCGGCUUUGCAAGCCGAAGGCCCCGGGUUCGAAUCCCGGCCGGUCCACCACGAAGAGGUGCACAUCCCGAGCACGGCUCGGGGUGGAAGGGUCCUAGGCCCCGAACAGGGG